rnacentral:lncRNA from 1 species
AGUUGUAUUGCCAUAGAGAGAAUGGUAGGUCAGGAUCCCUUGUAGUAGUUAAUAUUAAUGACAUUAUUGGGAGUACCAUUAUAUAAUUGUGCAUAUUUUUCUGGAUCAACCUUGGAAGCACUGGGACUUAAUUAGCAGGUCAUUUCUAAUCUAUGGGACUUGUCUUUCCUCUUUCUAUUCCCUGCCUUCCCCACCACAUAUUUUCUGUUUAUUAAGUGGUUUAUUCUUAAUUCUGAGAAUUAAUCUAGGUCACGCUCUAUAUCCUGUGCUUCCUCAUUGGUUUCAGGCAUCUGGUUCUGUCAGCAGUAAUGAUAACAGCUCCCUUCUCUGGCUUUGCCCUGUGUUCUGUUCUUCUGCCAAGGCCACUUGUGUUAGGCCAGAGAAAGGGUAGGUGGGGUGCUUAGCUUCUCAAAACAGCUUCAGUUUUACAAGUUGUCUGACAGCUUUAUGUACAAUAUAUUUUAGGAAAACAAAUCUACUUCUCUUUUAUUUAGGAUUUUAAUAAAAUAGGGUUUGAAUCUGAUGAGCAAGUUCAUGUGUGUGUGUAAGCAUUUAUGUGUAUGUACACCUAUACAAAUAUAUAUAUACAAUUUUUGUACUAUCAUUUAAAAUAAAAAGAUAUUUCUUAAUAAAAUGUCGAAGUCUUACCA